GCUCCGGUGGACUAGUGGAUAGAGCGUCCGUCUCGGAUGCGUGAUUUCGUGGGUUCGAUCCCCGGUCGAGGCA